UACGAAGGGGGCUAGCGUUGUUCGGAUUUACUGGGCGUAAAGCGCACGUAGGCGGUUUGUUAAGUCAGGGGUGAAAUCCCACAGCUCAACUGUGGAACUGCCUUUGAUACUGGCAAGCUAGAGUCCGGAAGAGGUAAGUGGAACUCCUAGUGUAGAGGUGGAAUUCGUAGAUAUUAGGAAGAACACCAGUGGCGAAGGCGACUUACUGGCCCGAUACUGACGCUGAAACACGAAAGCGUGGGGAGCAAACAGG
rnacentral:rRNA from 1 species